rnacentral:rRNA from 1 species
ACGAACGCUGGCGGCGUGCUUAACACCUGCAAGUCGAACGGAAAGGCCCUGCUUUUGUGGGGUGCUCGAGUGGCGAACGGGUGAGUAACACGUGAGUAACCUGCCCUUGACUUUGGGAUAACUUCAGGAAACUGGGGCUAAUACCGGAUAGGAGCUCCUGCUGCAUGGUGGGGGUUGGAAAGUUUCGGCGGUUGGGGAUGGACUCGCGGCUUAUCAGCUUGUUGGUGGGGUAGUGGCUUACCAAGGCUUUGACGGGUAGCCGGCCUGAAAGGGUGACCGGCCACAUUGGGACUGAGAUACGGCCCAGACUCCUACGGGAGGCAGCAGUGGGGAAUAUUGCACAAUGGGCGGAAGCCUGAUGCAGCAACGCCGCGUGCGGGAUGACGGCCUUCGGGUUGUAAACCGCUUUCGCCUGUGACGAAGCGUGAGUGACGGUAAUGGGUAAAGAAGCACCGGCUAACUACGUG